rnacentral:rRNA from 1 species
UACGUAGGCAGCAAGCGUUGUUCGGAGUUACUGGGCGUAAAGCGCACGUAGGCGGCUUUUUAAGUCAGGGGUGAAAUCCUGGAGCUCAACUCCAGAACUGCCUUUGAUACUGAGAAGCUUGAGUCCGGGAGAGGUGAGUGGAACUGCGAGUGUAGAGGUGAAAUUCGUAGAUAUUCGCAAGAACACCAGUGGCGAAGGCGGCUCACUGGCCCGGUACUGACGCUGAGAUGCGAAAGCGUGGGGAGCAAACAGG